rnacentral:rRNA from 1 species
AACGAACGCUGGCGGCGUGCUUAACACAUGCAAGUCGAACGCGAAAAGGACUUCGGUCCUGAGUAAAGUGGCGCACGGGUGAGUAACGCGUAGAUAACCUGUCUUCACGUCUGGAAUAAUACGCCGAAAGGGGUACUAAUACCGGAUAUUCUUGCUUUUCAUAAGUUUUGCAAGGAAAGGUGGCCUCUGUAUAUGCUACUGCGGGAAGAGGGGUCUGCGUACCAUCAGCUAGUAGGUGGGGUAAUGGCCUACCUAGGCAACGAUGGUUAGCGGGUCUGAGAGGAUGAUCCGCCACGCUGGCACUGGAAAACGGGCCAGACUCCUACGGGAGGCAGCAGUGAGGAAUAUUGCGCAAUGGGGGAAACCCUGACGCAGCGACGCCGCGUGAGUGAGGAAGGCCUUCGGGUCGUAAAGCUCUGUCAAAGGGAAAGAAGUGCAUGAUGGCUAAUACCUGUCAUGUUUGACGGUACCCUUAAAGGAAGCACCGGCUAACUCCGUGCCAGCAGCCGCCGUAAUAC